AGGGAGUGCGUAGGAAACGGUGGAGGUAUGGGGUUAACAAACCAUUGGGCUAGGAGGGAGAAAGGCCCAAACCAACACGAGGAAACCUAUUCGUUCAAUUCACAAUCUCAGUUUGGACUCGAAAUCAGCUCACUCCUCACCUGAACUCCGUUACCCUCCCGCCGCGCCGGAAAUCGCCACCGACGGCGGCGGAGAUCUAAACCACAAAACUCAUACACCAAAUCCUUCGUCUCCACGCCCUUAACCCGAAUCCAUCCCCCGAUUGAACCAAAUCAUGCGCGAAUGUCCUAAUUGAAGUGAUCGUUUAUGAACCCUAAAUGAAAGAAACUAUAAUUAAAUUCUCCAGAUACAGAAUAAAAGCCCGAAUGGUUGGGGCUUCGAUUCCCUAAGCUCUCAACUAUGUCACAGCAACAAGCUCAAUGUGAAAUGAAGCAGAAAUCAGCAUACCUGCCUGAGAAGACGAAGGCGACGACGAAAUUCGGGAUUAGUGCACGAAGGUUCACGGGAAGAUUAUCUAGUGCACAGUGUAAAAGCUAAUAAAACUCUUCCGACUUAUUAACGUUAGCAUCACCAUUUUUACCCUUAUGGACCUUCUGCAACCGCUCAUCUAGCACAAGCAGACCCUAUGAGCGAUGGGCAGCUACCAUUGGAAAUGCUUGUGAUGUAUUUGUAGGUUGUUGAGCUUGCUACAACAUAACUUUUCAUAACUGCCCUCGAUUCAGAGAUAUCACAAACAGAUUUGUCCAACUUCAUGUACAUUUCUGAAUCAGCUAUUGGAGCAUUAUUGAAUGCAGCAAGAACAAAUUGAUCAUCAUACCUAUCAACAUCAGGCAAUAAUGGCGUGAACUCAACAUGAUACAAAUCUUUUUAGUUGCACGAAUAGGACGUGACUUGGCUGCUUCAAAUGAUGCUUCAAUUUCCCUAAUAUGUCUUUCCUUGUUGCUAAGAUGGCUUCUUUAUAGAAGCAUUUUCGUUGUUGCCAUGUAUAUUCUUCUGGUACAACAUGUGUUGCUUUACAAUUUGCCAUGUCUGCAAACCAAUAUCUCUCACUAAUAGCCAUUAUCUUCUCAACUGGAAAUGUCUAUGUGAUAUUAUCCUUAUUUUUGGUCA